rnacentral:rRNA from 1 species
UAGAGUUUGAUCCUGGCUCCGAUUGAACGCUGGCGGAAUGCUUUACACAUGCAAGUCGAACGGCCGCACGGGGCCACCUGGUGGCGAGUGGCGAACGGGUGAGUAAUAUAUCGGAACGUGCCCAAUCGUGGGGGACUAACGUAGCGAAAGUUACGCUAAUACCGCAUACGAUCUACGGAUGAAAGCGGGGGCUCGCAAGACCUCGCGCGAAUGGAGCGGCCGAUAUCAGAUUAGGUAGUUGGUGGGGUAAAAGCCUACCAAGCCGACGAUCUGUAGCUGGUCUGAGAGGACGACCAAGCCACACUGGGACUGAGACACGGCCCAGACUCCUACGGGAGGCAGCAGUGGGGAAUUUUGGACAAUGGGCGCAAGCCUGAUCCAAGCCAUGCCGCGUGCGGGAAGAAGGCUUCGGGUUGUAAACCGCUUUUGUCAGGAAGAAAUCUCUGGGCUAAUACUCGGAGAUGACGUACUGAGAAUAGCACGGCUAACUACGUGCAGCAGCCGCGUAAUACGUAGGUGC